UACAGAGGGGGCAAGCGUUAUUCGGAAUUAUUGGGCGUAAAGGGCGCGUAGGCGGCUUUGCAAGUGGCGGGUGAAAGCCCUCGGCUUAACCGAGGAACUGCCUGUCAGACUGUGAGGCUUGAGACCGGGAGAGGUGAGUGGAAUUCCCAGUGUAGCGGUGAAAUGCGUAGAUAUUGGGAGGAACACCGGUGGCGAAGGCGGGUCUCUGGGCCGAUACUGACGCUGAGGAGCGAAAGCGUGGGGAGCAAACAGG
rnacentral:rRNA from 1 species